UCCUGGCUCAGAACGAACGCUGGCGGCGUGGAUAAGACAUGCAAGUCGAACGAGAGAAUUGCUAGCUUGCUAAUAAUUCUCUAGUGGCGCACGGGUGAGUAACACGUGAGUAACCUGCCCCCGAGAGCGGGAUAGCCCUGGGAAACUGGGAUUAAUACCGCAUAGUAUCGAAAGAUUGAAGCAGCAAUGCGCUUGGGGAUGGGCUCGCGGCCUAUUAGUUAGUUGGUGAGGUAACGGCUCACCAAGGCGAUGACGGGUAGCCGGUCUGAGAGGAUGUCCGGCCACACUGGAACUGAGACACGGUCCAGACACCUACGGGUGGCAGCAGUCGAGAAUCAUUCACAAUGGGGGAAACCCUGAUGGUGCGACGCCGCGUGGGGGAAUGAAGGUCUUCGGAUUGUAAACCCCUGUCAUGUGGGAGCAAAUUAAAAAGAUAGUACCACAAGAGGAAGAGACGGCUAACUCUGUGCCAGCAGCCGCGGUAAUACAGAGGUCUCAAGCGUUGUUCGGAA
rnacentral:rRNA from 1 species